rnacentral:rRNA from 1 species
UACGUAGGGUCCGAGCGUUGUCCGGAGUUACUGGGCGUAAAGCGCGCGCAGGCGGCGGUGCUGGCCCGGCGUGAAAGCCCCCGGCUCAACCGGGGAGGGUCGUCGGGGACCGCACCGCUUGAGGGCGGUAGGGGCUGGUGGAAUGCCUGGUGUAGUGGUGAAAUGCGUAGAGAUCAGGCGGAACACCCGUGGCGAAGGCGGCCAGCUGGGCCGUCCCUGACGCUGAGGCGCGAAGGCGUGGGAGC